AUUGUGCUAUGUAACAAGGAUAAGUAGAGUCUCCAUUUCAAGGUUGUUGAUUUUUGUUUUUUUUCUCCCCAGCUGUGAUUAUAUCACCUUGACUGGAACUAUUAUUCAGUACAGAAGUCCUUCAAAUGUAAUUGCCAAGUCAGGGACCUACAGGGAAAUGGGGAUCAAAAGCUCUCAUCACUCCAGAUGCUACAAAGCCUUCCCUUCCAGAUGCUCCUGGUUUUGCUCCCCAGGGUGAACUGGAAGGGUGUGGUACUCAGCAGCCACUAAAAUAUCAUAGAACUUUUAUUGGCAGAAACAGUGUUUUGGACAUACUGAUAUGUGAACAAAAAUGUAUCUGCAGUAAUUUCUACCAAGUUGCAUUUUAUCCUCUGCUAAGGAUGGAAGAGGACCUUCUGAGUGGCAGCUUAAAUUAGACAUAGGAAGGAUGCCUCCCUCAGCUCCAAGUUCAUGGAUUCAGCUCCUGUCCCUAAGGCUCAACCGAUCUCAUCUCCACUGUAUCCUCACUUCAAAGUCAGUAGCAGAACUGGACAAGUUUUCAUCAAUAAGAGGUUAAGUUCAGUUUCUACAAUGAUUUUUUUCUUUCAUCUUGCCUGCAUAUUUUCUUCCAUUUUUCCUUUUAUUUGUACAAAUUUUGUUGUUAAUUUUUCU